UACGAAGGGUGCAAACGUUGCUCGGAAUCAUUGGGCGUAAAGCGCACGUAGGCGGCCCGAUAAGUCGGAUGUGAAAUCCCUCGGCUCAACCGAGGACGUGCAUUCGAAACUGUCGGGCUCGAGUAUGGAAGAGGGUCGCGGAAUUCCCGGUGUAGAGGUGAAAUUCGUAGAUAUCGGGAGGAACACCAGUGGCGAAGGCGGCGACCUGGGCCAAUACUGACGCUGAGGAGCGAAAGCGUGGGGAGCAAACAGG
rnacentral:rRNA from 1 species